GAUGAACGCUGGCGGCGUGCUUAACACAUGCAAGUCGAACGAAGCACUUAUGAUUGAGAUUUCGGUUGAUUGAUUAAGUGACUUAGUGGCGGACGGGUGAGUAACGCGUGGGUAACCUGCCUCGUACAAGGGGGAUAACAGUUAGAAAUGACUGCUAAUACCGCAUAACCCGCUAAGGUCGCAUGACCUGGACGGAAAAGAUUUAUCGGUACGAGAUGGACCCGCGUCUGAUUAGCUAGUUGGUGAGGUAACGGCCCACCAAGGCGACGAUCAGUAGCCGGCCUGAGAGGGUGACCGGCCACAUUGGGACUGAGACACGGCCCAAACUCCUACGGGAGGCAGCAGUGGGGAAUAUUGCACAAUGGGGGAAACCCUGAUGCAGCAACGCCGCGUGAGUGAAGAGGUAUUUCGGUAUGUAAAGCUCUAUCAGCAGGGAAGAAAAAAUGAACGGUACCUGACUAAGAAGCACCGGCUAAAUACGUG
rnacentral:rRNA from 1 species